rnacentral:rRNA from 1 species
UACAGAGGUCCCAAGCGUUGUUCGGAUUCACUGGGCGUAAAGGGUGCGUAGGCGGUCGGGUAAGUCUGAUGUGAAAUCUCACAGCUUAACUGUGAAACUGCAUUGGAUACUAUCCGGCUCGAGGAAUGGAGGGGAGACUGGAAUACUUGAUGUAGCAGUGAAAUGCGUAGAUAUCAAGUGGAACACCAGUGGCGAAGGCGAGUCUCUGGACAUUUCCUGACGCUGAGGCACGAAAGCCAGGGGAGCAAACGGG